AUUGAACGCUGGCGGCAGGCCUAACACAUGCAAGUCGAACGAGUGGCGGACGGGUGAGUAAUGUCUGGGAAACUGCCUGAUGGAGGGGGAUAACUACUGGAAACGGUAGCUAAUACCGCAUAUCAUCGUAUGUGCCCAGCUGGGAUUAGCUAGUAGGUGGGGUAAAGGCGCACCUAGGCGACUAUCCCUAGCUGGUCUGAGCGGAUGACCAGCCAAACUGGAACGGAGACACGGUCCAGAAUCCUACGGGAGGCAGCAGUGGGGAAUAUUGCAAAAUGGGCGAAAGCCUGAUGCAGCCAGGCCGCGUGUAUGAAGAAGGCCUUCGAGUUGUAAAGUACUUUCAGCGGGGAGGCGUUACCCGCAGAAGAAGCACCGGCUGACUCCGUGCCAGCAGCCGCGGUAAUUC
rnacentral:rRNA from 1 species